AUUGAACGCUGGCGGCAGGCCUAACACGUGCAAGUCGAGCGGCAGCGGGAAAGCGGCUUGCUACUUUUGCCGGCGAGCGGCGGACGGGUGAGUAAUGCCUGGGAAAUUGCCCAGUCGAGGGGGAUAACAGUUGGAAACGACUGCUAAUACCGCAUACGCCCUACGGGGGAAAGCAGGGGACCUUCGGGCCUUGCGCGAUUGGAUAUGCCCAGGUGGGAUUAGCUAGUUGGUGAGGUAAUGGCUCACCAAGGCGACGAUCCCUAGCUGGUCUGAGAGGAUGAUCAGCCACACUGGAACUGAGACACGGUCCAGACUCCUACGGGAGGCAGCAGUGGGGAAUAUUGCACAAUGGGGGAAACCCUGAUGCAGCCAUGCCGCGUGUGUGAAGAAGGCCUUCGGGUUGUAAAGCACUUUCAGCGAGGAGGAAAGGUUGAUGCCUAAUACGUAUCAACUGUGACGUUACUCGCAGAAGAAGCACCGGCUAACUCCGUGCCAGCCGCCGCAGUAAGAC
rnacentral:rRNA from 1 species